AAAGCCACCCUUAAUAGCACGUUGAAUGCUCCACUUCUCAACAGAUCACUGAAGUUGAGCAACGUUGGCCGAGGUUAAUAUAUGGAUGGGUGACCGUCCAAGACAACACGUGCUGGCUAUC
rfam:Asian citrus Psyllid, Diaphorina citri - Florida Strain, whole genome shotgun sequence.